rnacentral:lncRNA from 1 species
CGAGCAUGAGUGAUUGCUAUCAGAUUUGUGCUUUGGGAGUUUUAUUUCUUUCUUUUUCAGACUUUAAUGCUUUUAUCAAUAUUUACGAGAUUUAUUAUGUUAUUUUGGAAAAUACGGGUGUUACACUUUCUCUUGUCUAUGAAGCUCAAGAUAACCGAAAGGGAGGUUUCAAAAACUUACCAAGGCCUUGCAAUCCACCAAAGCCGGAAGGAAGUAAC